rnacentral:lncRNA from 1 species
AAUUGGAACCCAUAAACUAGAUGUUAACAUUAAUUAAUUUAUUAAUUAAGGUAUUUGAGGGAAGAGGAGAGUUUAAAAGUCCCAAAUGAAUGUAUUCUCUAUGGCACAUUUUUAUAUCACAGUCUUCUGAAAUGCCUGCAGAAAGAAAUGAGUCUUAGUUGCUGUAGGUCCUGAGAUGGGCAGAGAUUAUGAGAGCGAGCAUCACAUAGACUUGGUGCUAUGGACAGAAUUGUGUUCCCCAAAAUUCAUGAUAAUUUCGUUUAGCUAAUCCACAAGGUGAUGGUAUUUAGAGAUGGGGCCUUUGGGAGACAAUUGUGUUUAGAUGAGGUUAUGAGGGUUGGGCUUUCAUAAUGGGAUUAGUGCCCUUAUGAGAAGGGGAAGAGAUAUUAUGUCUCUCUCAUUCUCUACCCUUCUCCAUCUCUCACUUUCUCCCCCUUUCUGUCUCUCCCUCUUUCUCUGUGCCAUGUGAGAACACAGCUACAACAUGGCGAUCAGCAAGACAGGAAGACAGCCCUCACCAGGAGCUGAAUCACUGGCGCUUUGAUCUUGCACUUCCAGAUCCUGGGCAAGACUCACCAGGGCAGACUUCUGUAGCUGCCUGGAAUUGUCUGAUCUGGAAUUAAUGCCCUGGAAUGCUGUGGUUGUUAACUCAGAAGGCACAAAGCUAAGAAUCUUCCUCUGGUCCUCUUUAAUCUGCCCCCACUCCUUGUUAUUUGUCUUAUUUUGAUUUUCAAGUAAGGAAUUUAUUUUCCCAGUUAACAUAACCAACCAGCCCAUGCCACAGUAUAUUAAACCAAGAAGUACAAAUCCAAGAAAGGUAACGUCUUUAUUGGGUUGCAAAACUUUGGGAAAUCAAUGUAGUACUUUUUAUUACAAUAAAAGCAUAUUUUUAUUAGAGACAUAUAUUAUUCUAGUGAUAAUUUUCGCUCCAAAUAUAUUUAAGUACUA